rnacentral:rRNA from 1 species
UGGGGAAUCUUGGACAAUGGGGGCAACCCUGAUCCAGCGACGCCGCGUGGGUGACGAAGGCCUUCGGGUUGUAAAGCCCUUUCGCCGGGGAAGAAAAGCAACUGGUUAAUACCUGGUUGUGCUGACGGUACCUGCAGAAGAAGCACCGGCUAACUCCGUGCCAGCAGCCGCGGUAAUACGGAGGGUGCAAGCGUUAAUCGGAAUUACUGGGCGUAAAGGGCGCGUAGGCGGCUUGGUAAGUCGGGUGUGAAAGCCCCGGGCUCAACCUGGGAAUUGCAUUCGAUACUGCUUGGCUUGAGUGUAGUAGAGGGAAGUGGAAUUCCGGGUGUAGCGGUGAAAUGCGUAGAUAUCCGGAGGAACACCAGUGGCGAAGGCGGCUUCCUGGACUAACACUGACGCUGAGGCGCGAAAGCGUGGGGAGCAAACAGGAUUAGAUACCCCCGUAGUCC